rnacentral:pre_miRNA from 1 species
UCCGGAGGGGGGUCCCUCAGCCCAGAUUGCAAGAGGGCACAGGCCAGGCCGAGGGACCCCACUGGUACACG